rnacentral:rRNA from 1 species
CGUAGAGUGUAAAGGCAAAAGGGAGCUUGACUGCGAGACCAACAAGUCGAGCAGGGACGAAAGUCGGACUUAGUGAUCCGGUGGUCCUACGUGGGAGGGCCAUCGCUCAUCGGAUAAAAGGUACGCCGGGGAUAACAGGCUUAUCCCCCCCAAGAGUUCACAUCGACGGGGGGGUUUGGCACCUCGAUGUCGACUCAUCGCAUCCUGGGGCUGAAGUAGGUCCCAAGGGUUGGGCUGUUCGCCCAUUAAAGCGGUACGAGAGUUGGGUUCAAAACGUCGUGAGACAGUUUGGUCCCUAUCUGGUGUGGGCGCAGGAUAUUUGAAAGGAGCUGUUCCUAGUACGAGAGGACCGGAAUGGACUGACCUCUGGUGUGUCAGUUGUCGUGCCAACGGCAGCGCUGAGUAGCUAUGUCGGGAAAGGAUAACCGCUGAAAGCAUCUAAGCGGGAAACCUGCCUUAAGAUAAGAUAUCCCGUGGCAUAAGCCACCUAAAGGCCCCUGGUAGACUACCAGGUUGAUAGGCUGGAUGUGUAAGGGCUGUGAGGCCUUAAGCUAACCAGUACUAAUUGGCCGUGCGGCUUGACCAUAUAA